rnacentral:rRNA from 1 species
CNGGCGGUUUAGUAAGUCUGAAGUUAAAGGCGUUGGCUCAANCAAUGUAUGCUUUGGAAACUGUUAGACUNGAGUGCAGAAGGGGAGAGUGGAAUUCCAUGUGUAGCGGUGAANUGCGUAGAUAUAUGGAGGAACACCGGUGGCGAAAGCGGCUCUNUGGUCUGUCACUGACGCUGAGGCUNGAAAGCGUGGGUAGCGAACAGGAUUAGAUACCCUGGUAGUNCACGCCGUAAACGCUGAGUGCUAGGUGUUAGGUCCUUUCCGGGACUUAGUGCCGACGCUAACGCAUUAAGCACUCCGCCUGGGGAGUACGACCGCAAGGUUGAAACUCAAAGGAAUUGACGGGGGCCCGCACAAGCGGUGGAGCAUGUGGUUUAAUUCGAAGCAACGCGAAGAACCUUACCAGGUCUUGACAUCCCGAUGCCCGCUCUAGAGAUAGAGUUUUUCUUCGGAACAUCGGAGACAGGUGGUGCAUGGUUGUCGUCAGCUCGUGUCGUGAGAUGUUGGGUUAAGUCCCGCAACGAGCGCAACCCUUAUUGUUAGUUGCCAUCAUUAAGUUGGGCACUCUAGCGAGACUGCCGGUAAUAAACCGGAGGAAGGUGGGGAUGACGUCAAAUCAUCAUGCCCCUUAUGACCUGGGCUACACACGUGCUACAAUGGUUGGUACAACGAGUCGCAAGCCGGUGACGGCAAGCUAAUCUCUGAAAGCCAAUCUCAGUUCGGAUUGUAGGCUGCAACUCGCCUACAUGAAGCCGGAAUCGCUAGUAAUCGCGGAUCAGCACGCCGCGGUGAAUACGUUCCCGGGCCUUGUACACACCGCCCGUCACACCACGAGAGUUUGUAACACCCAAAGUCGGUGAGGUAACCAUUUAUGGGGCCAGCCGCCUAAGGUGGGANGGAUG